AAUAUAAUUAUCAAUUAUAAAUAGAUUGAAUUAAUUAACAAUAGUAAAGGGAAAGGAAAUAGUAGAUAUAUAUAUAUAAUAACUGAAAAGGAAUUUAAUAAAUUGAUUAUUAGUAAAAUUUAAAUUUUGUACCUUUUGCAUUAUGGGUUGAUAAUAUAUUGUGUUAAAUAAUUAAUUCUCGAAAUAAAAAGAUUUAUUUAAUGAAAAGUUAAAUCUAAAUAAUUUUAACGUUGUAUAGUUAUAUUAUUAUUAUUAAAUGGUAGUGAAAUGCUAUUCGAUUUUUAUGUUAGCUAGUUUAUUAUUUAAAACAUAUUAGUGUAGUUUAGUUAGGAUAUGAAUUACAUAUAAUUACUAAAUAUAUAUUUAAUGGGGGAAAAGCUUCAUAUUACUAUUAAGAUAGGCGUAUAAAUAGUUUGUUUAUUAAAGUUGAAUUAAAUAAUUUAAUUUAUAAUUAAAUUAAUAAGUUAUUAAUACAAAUCUUGAUAAUUAAAAAUAAAAUUUUAUUAAUUAUUAUAAUAAUUUAAUAUUAUGUUAAUAUGAUUAUUGUUAUUUUGUUAAAGUAAUUUUUGUUAGAAAAUAUAAUGGAAAUUUAAAUAAAAAUAUAUAAUUAAAAAUAUAAAAUAAAAUAAAUAAAAGGAAUUCGGCAAAUAUCAAUUUCGCCUGUUUAUCAAAAACAUGUCUCUUUGUUUUUUGUAUAUAAGGAGUCGGGCCUGCUCAGUGAUAUUAUAUUUAACAGCUGCAGUGAGUAACUGUACUAAGGUAGCAUAAUAAUUUGCCUUAUAAAUUAAGGCUAGAAUGAAUGGUUUGACGAAAGUUGAUCUGUCUCUUAUUUAUUUAUUAGAAAUUAAUUUUUAUAGUGAAAAAGCUUUAAUUAAUUAAAGGGACGAGAAGACCCUAUUGAGCUUUUAUCAAAUAUACAUAAUUUUUUUUCUAAAACUAUGUAGAAAAUGAUUUUGAUUGGGGUGAUCGAGGAAUAAAAAUAGAUAAUAACUUCCUUAAAAUAAAAUAAAAUUGAUAAAUUAAUUAACCAAUAUUUUGCUUACAUGAAUAAGUUACCAUAGGGAUAACAGCGUAAUUUUUUUAGAGAGUUCUUAUUGAUAAAAAAGAUUGCGACCUCGAUGUUGGAUUAAAAUAACCUUAAGGUGAAGAAGCUUUAAUAGGUGAAUCUGUUCGAUUUUUAAAAUUUUACAUGAUCUGAGUUCAGACCGGCGUAAGCCAGGUUGGUUUCUAUCUUUUAAUAAAUACAUUGUUUAUAUCUAGUACGAAAGGACCGAUUAUUACUAAAAAAAUAUUAAAUAAUAUA
rnacentral:rRNA from 1 species